UUGAACGCUGGCGGCAUGCCUAACACAUGCAAGUCGAACGGUAACGCGGAGAGCUUGCUCUCUGGCGACGAGUGGCGGACGGGUGAGUAAUACUUAGGAAUCUGCCCAUUAGUGGGGGACAACUCGAGGAAACUCGAGCUAAUACCGCAUACGCCCUACGGGGAAAGCGGGGGAUCUUCGGACCUCGCGCUAUUGGAUGAGCCUAAGUCGGAUUAGCUUGUUGGUGAGGUAAAGGCUCACCAAGGCGACGAUCCGUAGCUGGUCUGAGAGGACGAUCAGCCACACUGGGACUGAGACACGGCCCAGACUCCUACGGGAGGCAGCAGUGGGGAAUAUUGGACAAUGGGCGCAAGCCUGAUCCAGCAAUGCCGCGUGUGUGAAGAAGGCCUUCGGGUUGUAAAGCACUUUCAGCAGGGAGGAAAAGCUCAAGAUUAAUACUCUUGAGCCGUGACGUUACCUACAGAAGAAGCACCGGCUAACUCUGUG
rnacentral:rRNA from 1 species